rnacentral:rRNA from 1 species
UACAGAGGGUGCGAGCGUUGUCCGGAAUCACUGGGCGUAAAGGGCGCGUAGGCGGCUUGAUAAGCGUGCGGUGAAAGCCCGGGGCUCAACCCCGGGUCGGCCGUGCGAACUGUCGAGCUGGAGCACUGUAGAGGCAGGUGGAAUUCCAGGUGUAGCGGUGGAAUGCGUAGAGAUCCGGAAGAACACCGGUGGCGAAGGCGGCCUGCUGGGCAGUGGCUGACGCUGAGGCGCGACAGCGUGGGGAGCAAACAGG